CUGGCGGCAGGCUUAACACAUGCAAGUUGACGGGAGUUUGCUUGGUGCUUGCACUGAGCGAUGAGAGUAGCGCACUGGUGAGUAACACGUGGGAACAUGCCUUUUGGUGGGGGACAACAGAGGGAAACUUCUGCUAAUACCGCAUAAGCCCUAAGGGGGAAAGAAUUUUUGCCGAAAGAUUGGCCCGCGGAAGAUUAGGUAGUUGGUGGGGUAAAGGCCUACCAAGCCGACGAUCUAUAGCUGGUCUGAGAGGACGAACAGCCACAUUGGAACUGAGACACGGUCCAGACUCCUACGGGAGGCAGCAGUGAGGAAUAUUGGGCAAUGGAGGAAACUCUGACCCAAGCCAUGCCGCGUGAGUGAAGAAGGUUUUCGAAUUGUAAAGCUCUUUCGGAUACGAGGAUGAUGACGGUAGUAUCUAAAGAAGCCCCGGCAAACUUCGUGCCAGCAGCUGC
rnacentral:rRNA from 1 species